rnacentral:misc_RNA from 1 species
UACGGAGGGUGCAAGCGUUGUCCGGAAUCAUUGGGUUUAAAGGGUCCGUAGGCGGACAAUUAAGUCAGUGGUGAAAUCCAACAGCUCAACUGUUGAACUGCCAUUGAUACUGGUGGGCUGGAGUAAAGUCGAGGCGGGCGGAACUGGUGGUGUAGCGGUGAAAUGCUUAGAUAUCGUAAAGAACACCUAUAGCGAAGGCAGCUUGCUAAACUAUAACUGACGCUGAGGCACGAAAGCAUGGGUAGCGAACAGG